rnacentral:lncRNA from 12 species
CCCAAAGCCAUACAAAGUUGUAUUUCAAAGUUGUAUUUUUUGCUUCUGCCAUGCAGCAGCACAGGGCAUCUUCUGCCUUUUACAGGUGGGAAUGGUUUAAUUCGAAAGUACCUCCGAUUUCUGUGGCAAAGGAAGAUUCCUCACGUAUUUGCAUUUGGCUUUGCUGCUGCUGCAGGUGACCCUGGUCAACAAGGGGCCUCUUGAGGCUCCCUUCAGCCUCGACCCUCCAACCACAGCCAUGGGCUCCUGCUUCACCUUCCUGCCUCAGGAGGGCAUCCUGGCACCGAAGAAGCUCCAGGACAUCUGCAUCUCCUUCUGUCCCACCAUCCUGGGGGAGUUCCAGGAACAAUUCCGCUUCCAUGUGACUGGAUCCCCUGAGCCUGUCACCUUGACUAUCAGGGGCUGUGUCGUGGGACCCACUUUGCUUUUCGAUGUGCCCGCCCUGCACUUCGGCGACGUCUCCUUUGGUUUUCCUCACACCUUGAAGUGUCGCCUGUCCAACGCCUCCCUGGCACACGUACCCGUCGAGCUGCACAUUGUUGGGGAUGGUUUGGGAGAGUGCAGCGUUGACAGCUUCGCUCAGAUGGGCAGGGACAGUAACCGUCUCUGGAGGAAGGGAGCUCGAGGUUCUGUGGGGCCGAGGGAAUUUGCCGUGAGUCCCUGCAGAACGACCGUCCGUGCCCUGGGAUCGCGGCUUUUCAAGAUCACCCUGUGCUCCAACACGGCCAGAGAGUACAAGCUGGAGCUGGUGGUGGACGUGAUUGGUGUUGGCCUCAAGUGGUUGACACUGCCCCUCACAGCCAGAUGCAUGCUUCCUGCCCUGCGAGUGCUCGACCCUGUCGUGUGGUUCAACCACUGCUGCCUGAAGUUCCCCUACGAGGAGAAGGUGACGCUUGUGAAUGACAGCGACUUUCGGGGCUGCUACCGUCUGCUCUCUCAGGUUUGCCUUGCCUCCAGCUCCUCCCCUCCAAUGUUC